CAGUGAAAAAGGAGCCCUUUUGACAUCUCCCUGGGGCUGAUCUUUAAUACCCAUAUUUAACCUCUGGACUACCAUCCGUGUGAGCAAUACAAAGCACACAAAGAAAUUAUGCUCAGAGGUUUCAAUAACAUUUGACUUGGCAACCUCUGCCUCCUUUGCUUUUGUAUACUACGACUCCCAAAAUGCCUAGCCAGACACCUUUUUUGGAAGUCGCUAGCAUACAUUUUUUAAAUUAGCAAAACCGCAAAUGCACAUGUGCAAACUGUGUUCUGUACACAACCUCGGAUAAAAUAAAAAGAAAAUUUAAAAAAAAUUAGGUAAUAAACGAAUAUAAGAAACAUCGGCAUAUUUAUUACUUAAACAUAUUUGAAUUCACUUCUUAACGUCUGUUGUUUUGGUUUGUAAAGAGAUUUUUUGCUGCUUUGCUGACAUUUUGUUUAGAUUUUGGCUUUUACAUUGCAAUGAGCACAGAUAGCCUGUGCAUGGUUUGGAAUGUGGGUUAGAACACAGAAUUCAAACCUUAUAAUCUGUAAUAGUAUAUUGUCAGUGUAAACAUGGUCUUUAAACUGCCAGGAACAGAAGAAACGGCAAUUGCAUUUAACUGGGAACAUUCCGUUAUCCCUGUCACAGGCUGCAGAUUGAGACGAAAAUGAAAAGUUAAAAGAAGUGAGUCAUAGGGGGGAAAUGUAGCAACAGAAAACAAUACGGAAUGUCCCCAAAUGUGGCAAAGGAUGAAUCAAACCCACACCCUUCUACAUCUCAUAGAAAAUUGGGCAGACUAGAUGGGCCGAAUGGUUCUUAUCUGCCAUCACAUUCUAUGUUUCUAUAGUGCUCCUAAAAAGUUGCAUGGUGACAAGCACGCCUUCAAGGAAAUGAUGUCCUCCCUAUGCCUCCCCUCCCAGAAGCAGUUCUUGUCUAAAGGUCAUGGGAGUUGCAGACAAAUGAACACCUGAAGGAAAUUUUAAAUGACUUUAACUCUUUUUGUACAAAGGUAAUUUGAGUCCCAGCAUCUUUAAUGCUAAUUGGUCACUAGGUCCUGUCUCUAUUGUAAAGAUCUAAAAAAAAAAUAAAAAAAAAAUAAAGGAAUAUGAUCAUAUUUUGGUUGCCUGUUUAAUAAAUAUAUAUAUAAAAAAAAUGUCUUCCCAUAAAUAUCUUUAAAAGGACACUGUAGGCACCCAGACCACUUCAGCUAAUUAAAGUGGUCUGGGUGCAGUGUCCCUUUUGCACAUACUGCUGCAAUGUAAAACACUGCAGUUCCAU